rnacentral:sRNA from 1 species
CUCUGAGCCAUUUGGUCCAGGGGGCACAUGGGGCAUCACUUUUAUGUAGCGAUUGUGCCAGGGGCUGGGGAAAGGGCAGAAGCUAAUGUCCACAGGCAAUGCCAGUUACAUGCCAAAUGCACCAAGCACCAAGGCAAAGCCACUAGGCCGCAGCUGCCUUCUUUCAGGCAACCCACUUUUGUGCUAAAUCACCCCGAAGGCUUCUUUUGUCAGGAUGAUGCAAAGACCAUAAGUAACAGCAGCCAUUCAUUCAAGAAUGUAGAUAAAAGUAGUUCCCUAAAACUAGGAGUGGUGUGAAUAAUAUUUAUUCCUUGCCUCUAAGGGUUUAUUAAGAACAUUUAAAAUGCCUUUGAGAUGACAAAAGUUAAGACUCAUUGUCCUUAGGUUUGCCUCCUAAGGUUAGAAGUUUAUGCUCCCCUGUAAUCAAUCCUGUUAACAUUUUACUCUCUCUAAUAUUUUUUCAUUCAUUCACCAAUUUACUUUCAUCCUGGUCAGGCUCUGUCCUCCCUUCUUUUCCAGCAUGUCCGUGCACUGGCUGUAGACUCCACACCCUUCAGUAUGGCAACACAACUACUUAAUCCUUAGAGGAUGUGCAGCCAAUCAAGGUGACUAGAGGCCUGCCAGGAGAGUUUACUAAAAGAUUUCAUUUCUCGGGUAUUCAGACAUUUCAAGGUUGAACCUCUGUGGCCAUGUUCCCCUACAUCUGGAAUCUUGGAAGCAUCAUCCCGACUGCCCUUGCUACAUCGCCUCACCAGAUCUUCAACUAUACUUGGGUGAUUCUUAAUGGCGCUGGAGAUGUGGUGUCUGCCAACUCCACCACUGCUGCACGAGUUCGCUGGCCCAAACUUGAGGUCGCUGGAAUUGGCCUCUGUCUAUUAGGACCCCAUGUGAUUCGGCCCUCCCCCCUGACACUUACUUGCAAUGAGAUAGUGGUGGUUACCACGAAGACCAACUCCAUUGCUGGCCCUAAGGGCACUCAUUUUGCCUGCUCAGCAGGCUUAACACCUUUUGUGGUAACAUCUACCUUUUUGACAGAAAAAGAUUAUUGUGUCCUUGUCCUCCUUUUUCACGAUUAACUAUUCAUGACUCCUCUAAGUUCCUGCAGUUCUGGGAAAGAGGCACCUCCACGCGUACGAAGAGAGAACCCAUCACCACCGUGACUCUGGCAGUACUCCUAGGUCUGUCAGCUGUGGGGACAGGAACCAGGGUUGCCUCCCUGAUCACCUCCCAACAAAAUUAUCAUCAGCUCAGUGCCACCAUAGACAGGGGUAUCAGUGAGCUUCAACAAGGAAUAACCUCUCUUAAAGAUUCAGUCGCUUUCUUGGCUGAGGUUGUUCUACAAAAUAGAAAGGGAUUAGAUCUUCUCUUUCUUCAACAGGGAGGGCUCUGUGUGGCCCUCAAGGAGGAGUGUUGCUUUUAUGCUGAUAAGACGGGAUUAGUAGAAAACAGCCUACAAAAGGUUAGAGAAAGUCUACAAAAGAGACAAAGAGAAAGAGAAGAGAGUGAAGCCUGGUAUAAAAACUGGUUUUCUGCCUCUCUCCUGCUCACCACUCUUCUACCCAGUAUCCUGGGUCCCUUUAUAGGACUCCUGCUGCUCGUCUCCUUUGGCUCAUGGGUGCUUAGAAAGUUAACUGAUUUUAUCAAGGCCCAGGUGGAUUCAGCUACCAAGCAGGUGUCGGUCCAUUACCACUGCCUCCGUUGAGAGGAGGCUGAGACAACCGGGGAGUGUGAUACUCCCCUUGGGUCGCCCACGGCUGGCCUCGACUUCUCCACCCUAAAUACAGCCUAUAACUCAGGCUGGAAAAUCAGUUGCUGGUGGAAGUGUCAAUGAUGGGAAUAUUAUGGUGCCACAUACCAGGCACACACCUCACCGCUGUGAAGUGACCCUAUGAUGGGAUUAGCACAGGUCCAUGAUCUGUGUCGCCCACUCCCACAAAACACACACGUAUAGCCCAGAAUGGUGUAUUUAGGCAUAAGAUCGUUCCUAGCCAUUGGGGUGCAGUUCUAACUGCAAGAGUGGCUCACCAUAGCCGAGCUGGGCACUCUGUAAGGCAUGUCUGAUCUAUCUCAGAUCACUACUUCCCCCCUGGUGGAAAUAAUGGAACUUAAGUGAGAGUGCCGGACAUGGGGGCAACCUGUGUAGCCUAAGACACGGGGUUUCACUGACCAGGUGCUGGAUGCACAUACCCCAGACCUUCCUCCCACUGAUAGUUUAAGAAAGGCGGAGAUGUCCGGGACCAGACUGCUGGACUAGGCAAAGCUAGAGCCCUGCCCUGGGCAGAUUCCUGAGAAGGGCUUGAACAGGUUCCCGGAAGACUGUUGCCUCAUUAUCUAAGAAGACUAUCUUGCAGUUUAGAGAUUCACCUUA